GACGAACGCUGGCGGCGUGCCUAAUACAUGCAAGUCGAACGCACAGUUUAUACCGUAGCUUGCUACACCAUAGACUGUGAGUUGCGAACGGGUGAGUAACGCGUAGGUAACCUGCCUGGUAGCGGGGGAUAACUAUUGGAAACGAUAGCUAAUACCGCAUAAUAUUAAUUAUUGCAUGAUAAUUAAUUGAAAGGUGCAAUUGCACCACUACCAGAUGGACCUGCGUUGUAUUAGCUAGUAGGUGAGGUAACGGCUCACCUAGGCGACGAUACAUAGCCGACCUGCGUGGGUGGUCGGCCGCCCUGGGACUGAGACCCGGCCCAGUCUCCUACGGGAGGCAGCAGUAGUGAAUCUUCGGCAAUGGACGAAAGUCUGACCGAGCAACGCCGCGUGAGUGAAGAAGGUUUUCGGAUCGUAAAGCUCUGUUGUAAGAGAAGAACGGGUGUGAGAGUGGAAAGUUCACACUGUGACGGUAUCUUACCAGAAAGGGACGGCUAACUACGUG
rnacentral:rRNA from 1 species